UGCAGGGUCUUCUGGAUCUUUCGGUGGAGCUGCAGCUGGAGAGGGAAGAAGAGAAAAUGCCACCACAUGACCGCCUGCCCAAGUCUCUCCAAAGGAAGGAAGCCUCUGCCGCCAAUCAAGGAGUCUCAGUCCAAGAACCAAGCCCCCGAAAGGCUUCCCAGAGUGGAGUCCGCGGGAAGAGUGAUCUGAGCCCGCCCCUUGCUCCCAGCCGAACCCCAGCCUCUGGAGACUCUGCUCUGGGGGGCGCAGCGCCAUCCCCUCUGCACACGCCCACGUCCUCCUCAGCCUCAGUCUCGGCAUCAGUGUGCUCAGGGUGCUCCAGCUGGGAAAGAAGAACGCGGGCACGGUGCUCCAGCUCCGAGACAGGCAUAUUAAGACCAACGUAGGCCAAGAGCAUUUCCAGGCUGGGAACAUCUGGGGGCUGGAUAAAAUCCUCAGGGUACCGUUGGAGCCAGGUGCCCAGAAUGAAGGAGAUGGCCCUGAGGACAGACAGGUGGGCAGCAGAGUCAGAGAAGGGUCGUUUCCUUGCACACUGGCCUCCCGGGCAUCUCUGUGUGCUCUGGGCUCCUGGGCCUCCCGCUCCUGGCUGUCCAGGGGCCAGUCCUACUUGGCUCCACCUCCAAUCUGGCAGUCUUGGCAGAGGUGGGCCAGGUCACCAAGGAGGGGCUAGGAAAACGCUUUUGCAAGGGAGAGCCCUGUGCGAUGGUGGCGUCACCACUCCUAGUCCUCAGGGAAGCCUGACACACUGCUUGGAGCAUCUCUCUGCCCACUGCCCACUGGAACGUCAGCUCCGUGAGGGCAGGGAACGGUGCGGUCCCCUCUUUUCAUUGCCCUCCCUGGCACACAGGAGCUGCUCCCAGAAUAUCUGACCAGUGAGGGAACAGCGCACAUUGUCUCCCGCCCAGGCUUCCCAGGGCCCUCCUCUUGCCUCCAGCUUUCCCUCCUGGGCCUACGUGCUGCCCAGUUCACCAAGUGUCCCAUGAGGGUCAUGCUCCCCCGCCCCGAAUCUCUACCAGGGAGGGGCUUAUGUGGCCCCGGAGCACUCCCCGAGCCCCCUGAGCAGGAGCUGAACACCCGCUGUUGAGGUUCUAGCAGAUGAGUGAGCGGGACGCUGCAGGAACUCCCUCCAAGUGUGGACGCUGGGCGCCCUCCUAGGGAUUCCAAAGCCCACUCACUUUUUCAGUUGGUCCAGGGGUCCGCCGUCCUCAUCGCAGUAAGGAAGGACGCAACCCUAUCAGGAAGACACAGGAGGACGUCACACGGACUGGACGGUGGAUCAGGCCUGCCUGAGAAGCCUAGCGGCGCUGUCUGACUCCCGACGAGAAUGGAGCCCUGGAGGGCACGGCUGCCGCCCGCUCUGUGCACGGGAUUAUGGUCGGUGCCUAGAAAACGUUCUGCACCUAGUGGGGACCUCUCUCUGUGUGUGAUGAAGGAGGGAGCUCCAACCGGCCCCUCACUCCUGCUUGGGCGGGUCGGGGGCCUCGGCUCAGCCCAGGGAUGGCUGCUCUGGCUUCACCCAGGUCAGGGACCUAGAAGGGCUCUCCCGUCUCCUUUUCCAAUCGGAAGACGACAACUCAGUCCAAUUCCCGGGGCGGUGAGGGAUGAGGCAGAGGCUUCGCCCUUUGAAACAGAAGCUCCAGCACCUGUUGUGUGGUGGCAAAACCUCUGUACGUGCACAGGAAGCUGCGGACGUAGGCGGUGUCGCCAUCCAGGAAGGCGGGCACCAGGUGCUCCACUCGAUUCUGCCGCGUUGCAGCCUGCACGGUCCACACCAGGCG
ensembl:lncRNA